rnacentral:rRNA from 1 species
AUGGCUGCGCCGCCGGCCGACCACUCGUUCGACGUGAUCGUGGUGGGCGCGGGCAUAAUGGGCAGCUGCGCGGCGCACGCGGCGGCGGCCCGGGGCGCGAGCGUGCUCCUGCUCGAGCGCUUCGACCUGCUACACCAGCGCGGCUCGUCGCACGGCGAGUCCCGUAUCACCCGCCCCACCUACACGCGGCCGCAGUACCCGCCCAUGGUCCGCCUCGCGCACCGCCUCUGGGACGACGCCCAGCGCGACGCCGGGUACGCCGUCCUCACGCCCACCCCGCACUUCAACCUGGGGCCACGGGACGAUCCGGCCUUCCUAGCCGCCGUCACUAACGGCAGCGCCACCGAGCUCGUGCCGUCGUCGGCGGAUGCACCGGCGUGGGCGGAAGCUUUCAGGGUGCCACAGGGGUGGGCGGCGGCCAGAAGCGAGCUGGGCGGUGUGAUAAAGGCGACCAAGGCGGUGGCCAUGUUCCAGGCGCUCGCCGGCAAGAUGGGCGCCGUCGUGAGGGACAGGGCGGAGGUGGUCGACGUCGCCAGGAAGCAAGGAGAGGGAACAACGAUCGUGGUGAAGACAUCGAGCGGCGAGGAGUUCCACGGCGGCAAGUGCAUCAUCACGGUGGGCGCGUGGGCGAGCAAGCUGUUGAAGUCCGUCACCGGCACCGACCUGCCGGUGCAGCCGGUGCACACCCUCGUCUGCUACUGGAACGUCAAGCCCGGGCGCGAGCACGAGCUGACUGCGGAGGCCGGAUUCCCGACGUUCGGGAGCUACGGCGACCCCAGCUUCUACGGCACGCCGUCGAUGGAGUACCCUGGCCUGAUCAAGAUCUCCAAGAGCGGCGGGCCGCCGUGCGACCCAGACGGCAGGGACUGGGCCAUCGGCACCGGCGCGGGGGAGAUGGCGGAGCUCGUGGCGCGGUGGAUCGACGAGGUGAUGCCGGGCCACGUGGACACCACCGGCGGGCCGGUGAUCUGCCAGCCGUGCAUGUGUUGCAUGACUCCCGACCAGUGGCGGCUCCAGGAAUUUGCAACCGGACCUAAGAAUACCCCUAGCGCCGCCCCUGCUCCCGACGAGGACUUCGUGCUUGACUUCCUGGACGGGAAGGAGUUCGGGAGGGACGUGGUGGUCGGCGCAGGGUUCUCCGGUCACGGGUUCAAGAUGGGCCCCGCCGUCGGGAAGAUCCUCGCCGAGAUGGCGUUGGACGACGAGUCAGGGACGGCGGCGGAGGCCGGCGUGGAGCUCCGUCACUUCAGGAUCGGACGGUUCGAGGGAAACCCGAUGGGGAACGCCAAGAGUCACUGA